AUUGAACGCUGGCGGCAGGCUUAACACAUGCAAGUCGAGCGGGGUGAUGGUGCUUGCACUAUCACUUAGCGGCGGACGGGUGAGUAAUGCUUAGGAAUCUGCCUAUUAGUGGGGGACAACAUCUCGAAAGGGAUGCUAAUACCGCAUACGUCCUACGGGAGAAAGCAGGGGAUCACUUGUGACCUUGCGCUAAUAGAUGAGCCUAAGUCGGAUUAGCUAGUUGGUGGGGUAAAGGCCUACCAAGGCGACGAUCUGUAGCGGGUCUGAGAGGAUGAUCCGCCACACUGGGACUGGGACGCGGCCCAGACUCCUACGGGAGGCAGCAGUGGGGAAUAUUGGACAAUGGGGGGAAGCCUGAGCCAGCCAUGCCGCGUGUGUGAAGAAGGCCUUAUGGUUGUAAAGCACUUUAAGCGAGGAGGAGGCUCUUUUGGUUAAUACCCAAGAUGAGUGGACGUUACUCGCAGAAUAAGCACCGGCUAACUCUGUGCCAGCAGCCGCAGUAA
rnacentral:rRNA from 1 species